rnacentral:rRNA from 1 species
GAUGAACGCUAGCUACAGGCUUAACACAUGCAAGUCGCGGGGCAGCAUGGGGGUUGCUUGCAAUCCUCGAUGGCGACCGGCGCACGGGUGAGUAACGCGUAUCCAACCUGCCCUUCACCACGGGAUAACCCGGCGAAAGUCGGACUAAUACCGUAUGUUGUCCAUUGACGGCAUCCGAUUUGGACGAAAGGUUUGGCGGUGAAGGAUGGGGAUGCGUCCGAUUAGCUGGACGGCGGGGUGACGGCCCACCGUGGCGACGAUCGGUAGGGGUUCUGAGAGGAAGGUCCCCCACACUGGAACUGAGACACGGUCCAGACUCCUACGGGAGGCAGCAGUGAGGAAUAUUGGUCAAUGGGCGUAAGCCUGAACCAGCCAAGUAGCGUGCAGGAUGACGGCCCUAUGGGUUGUAAACUGCUUUUAUGCGGGGAUAAAGUGGCCCACGUGUGGGUUUUUGCAGGUACCGCAUGAAUAAGGACCGGCUAAUUCCGUG